GAUGAACGCUAGCGGCAGGCCUAAUACAUGCAAGUCGAGGGGUAACAGGAAGUGCUUGCACUUCGCUGACGACCGGCGCACGGGUGAGUAUCGCGUAUACAAUCUGCCCCAUACUAGGGAAUAGCCCGAAGAAAUUUGGAUUAAUGCCCUAUAGUAUCUUUUUAAGGCAUCUUAUUAAGAUUAAAGGUUACGGUAUGAGAUGAGUAUGCGUUCUAUUAGCUAGUAGGUGUGGUAACGGCACACCUAGGCUACGAUAGAUAGGGGCCCUGAGAGGGGGACCCCCCACACUGGUACUGAGACACGGACCAGACUCCUACGGGAGGCGGCAGUAAGGAAUAUUGGUCAAUGGACGAAAGUCUGAACCAGCCAUGCCGCGUGCAGGAUGACUGCCCUAUGGGUUGUAAACUGCUUUUAUAUAGGAAGAAAAACUUUCUCGUGAGAAAGCUUGACGGUACUAUAAGAAUAAGGAUCGGCUAACUCCGUGCCAGCAGCCGCGGUAAUACGGAGGAUCCAAGCGUUAUCCGGAAUCAUUGGGUUUAAAGGGUCCGUAGGUGGACGAAUAAGUCAGAGGUGAAAUCCUGCAGCUCAACUGUAGAACUGCCUUUGAUACUGUUUGUCCUGAGUUAUUAUGAAGUGGUUAGAAUGUGUAGUGUAGCGGUGAAAUGCAUAGAUAUUACACAGAAUACCGAUUGCGAAGGCAGAUCACUAAUAAUCAACUGACACUGAUGGACGAAAGCGUGGGUAGCGAACAGGAUUAGAUACCCUGGUAGUCCACGCCGUAAACGAUGGUCACUAGCUGUUUGGACUUCGGUCUGAGUGGCUAAGCGAAAGUGAUAAGUGACCCACCUGGGGAGUACGUCCGCAAGGAUGAAACUCAAAGAAAUUGACGG
rnacentral:rRNA from 1 species